ACGUGUCUGGAGUGCUGCCCUUAGCCAUAAGCUCAAACCAUAUAUUUCUGGUCCCCAGCAGUGACUCAAAGAUACUGGAAUGCCAGCAAGACCACUCUGCAUGCCUUGUUCAGCUGAGUAAGGUUCCUUUCAGAUACUGGAAGGUUGCCACCAGGUCUCCAUGCAACCUUCUCCAGGCUGAACAGCUCCAACCUUCUCAGCCUGUGUUCACAGCGGAGGAGCCCUUACCAGCUUUGUGGCCUCCUUUGGACUUGCUCCAACAGCUCCAUGUCCUUCUUACGUUGAAGACACCAGAACUGUGCACAGUGCUUCAGGUGGGAUCUCCCAUAAGCAGAGAAGAGGGGCAAAAUCACCUUGUUUGACCCACGCUCUUUGUGAUGCAGCCCAGGAUUUGAUUUGCUUUCUGGGCUGUGAGCACACACAGCUGGCUCAUGUGGAGGUUUUCAGCACCUGCCACCCCCUGUCUUUCUUAGCAGGGCUUUUCUCAAUCAUGUCUCUGCCCAACCCAUUGGUGUGUCUGGGAUUGCCAUGACCCAGGUAUAGAACCUUACACUUUGUUGAACCUCAUGAGGUUUGCAUUGGCCCCUGGGUGGUAUUAUCCCUUCCCUCCAUGGUGUCUACUGCACCAUAGGGCUUGGUAUUGUCAGAAAAUUUGCUGAAGGUGCACUUGGUCCCCCUGUCCAUGUUGUCAGUAAAGAUGUUGAAGAGCUCCGGUACCAAUCUCUGAGGGACACCACUCAUCACAGGUCUCCAUGUGUGGCCAUUGACCACAGCUGUUGGUGUGUGGCUAUGCAGCUUUAUCCACAGAGUGGUCCAUCCAUCAAAUCCCUUCUUGUCCAAUCUGGAGACAAUGAUGUUUUGCAGGAAUGUGAAAGAUUUUGCAUUUAAUCCAGCUAGACAAUGUCAGUUCCUCUGCCUCUGUCCACCAAAACUGUAGCCCUGUCAUGGAAGGUCAGCAGAUUUGUCAGACAUGGUUUUCCCCUUGUAAAACCAUUUUGGCUGUUACCAGUCAUCUCUUUGUUGGCCAGGUACCUUAGCAUAGUUUCCAGUAGAACCUGCUCUGUGACCUUGCCUGGCACAGAGGUGAAACUGACUGGUCAGUCAUUCCCCAGGUCUUUUGCUUUCCCCUUUUUAAAAAUGGGGGUUACAUUUAUCUUUUUCCCAUCAUCAGGGACUUCAUCUGACUGCCAUGAUUUUUAAGAAAUGAUGGGUAGUGGCUCAGCAACUUUGUCUGCCAGCUCCCUCAGGACCCAUGGAUGAUCCUUAUCCUGUCCUGUAGACUUGUACACGCUCUCAAACCUGGUCCUUUCCUACAGGGGGCUCAGGGUCUUCAUCCUCCCAGUCCCUGCAUCUACCUUUCAUGACUUGGGUGGCGUGGCUGGAGCACUUGCCAUUGAAGACAGAGGCACGGAAGUUCUUGGGAACCCCAGCCUUCUCUUUGUCCAGGGUAGUCAGGUCUCCCUUUUCCUUCUGGAAAGGGCCCGCAUUAGCUCAGUCUUUCUCUUGCUUGCAAUGUGUCUAUGGAGGCCCUUCCUGUUAUCCUUAAUAUCUCUGUCCAGACACAAUUCUAACUAGGCUUUGGCUUCUCUAACCUUGUCCCUAGCUUCUGAUACAGUUUUCCCACUUUUUUCAGGCUCUCUGUCCUCGUUUCCACUUUCUGAAAUCUUUUUUUGCUUUGAGUUUACACAGCAGCUCCUUAUCCAUAGAGGCCUCCUGGUGCUUUUUCCCAAUCUCCACCUGGUUGAGAUACCUUGCUCCCAUGCUUGGAGGAGGUGAUCCUUGAAAUUCAGUCACCAUUCUUGAACCCUUCUGCUUUCUGAAGUUCUAGCCAAUGAAACUCUACCAAAGAGGUCCUUGGAGAGGCUAAAGUCUGCUCUUCUGAAGUCCAGGGCAGUGAGCUUUCUGUGUGCCCCCCCUUGCUAUCCUCUGGAUCAUAAACACCAUCUCCUGCUGACUGCAGCCAAGGCUACCUUGAAGCACUGCAUUCCCCACCAGCUCCUUCCUCUUGGUGAGCGCAAGGUCCAGUAAUGGCGCUAAAGAUACUUUUUUCCUUUGUCAAAUGGAUGCUAUCAUCCCCCAGUAAACUAGGUUAGGCAAAGCCAAGUCCUGUGAGUGUGUAACCAAAAUCCUGACUCUACACCAUUGCUCUAGCCAUUUGUUGACCUUCCAGAUUUGUCUGCAAAUUUCAAGUCCCUCUCCUUUGGCCAGGAGGAUUCAUGAAGAAGCUACUUGAACUCCAGGGCCCUUUACUAUCUUUCCCAGGGCUCCUUAGUCCCUCCUAAUGCUUCCCAGAGUGGUGCCAUCUCUUUCACUGGCUCCCACAUGGAACACUAAUAGUGGGUAAUUUCUCAGAAUAAUAGUGGGUCAUUUCUCAGAAAUGUCCCAGAUCCAGGCUCCUGGAAGGUUGCACACCUCCCUUGAGAGUGGGUCAAGCUGACAGCUGAGUACCUCUGUACCUCCUAGAGUGGAAUCACCUGCUCCUGCCACCUGCCACUUUUUGUGGUUGAACUAGUUGGUAAUUUCUUUAUUUGUGGAGCAGGUUGGGCAGCUCCAGUUAUCUCCUGCUCUCUGAGGUCCAUCUGGGUCGUCAAGUUUCUUUUCCCAGUGGCUUUUGACUGAGUUGAAGGCAUACUUACUCCUGUUUUAGUUUGAUAGGUGAUGACUCACUCCCGAAGUUUUGUGCUCUGCCUCAGCACCUGCCCUUUCAAACAGCCCCUUUCGCUCCCUGGAGCUGUUUAAAUUUCCCGUGGAUGCUCCUGGCAAUGCCUCCUCCUUGCCAGUGAUCUUUCACUGAUUAAUCUGUUUUCCAGUAUUACAGGAUAUAGUCAGAGCUAGGAACAUGGUAACAGUGCACUUAUGCAUGGUAAUUUAUUAUGGCCUUUCAAUCCUUGGCAUUUAAGUUAAUGUACUCAAUGACUUUUUACCCUCAUGAGGGUUUUGAGUGAGUAAAUGGGAGACAGCUGCUUCAUUCCACUUCUUGCUGUGAUUCUAAAGAAGUGUGUUUCCAUAAUUUUCUUUGCUGUAUUGCAUUCAGCAGUCUUGAAUAUCCUCUUGGGCACCCUCUAAAGAAUUUUCUCCAAGCCACAGGUGACAGAGCAGCGGCCCACAUUUUAACAUGGUAGGUGAGCUAGAGAAAGCAGUAAAAAGCAGGUGACCUCUACAUUCCUGGGGUCAGAAGUGCGUGAGUUCUGUUUGCCGUAUUCCUUCAAAGCUGCUGCUACAGAUCUAGAAGACUUGUUUUGCAGUGACAUUUUGUGUGACCAGUAACUGCAACUUUGUUUAAAAACCUCUGUAUCUGGAGCCAUCAUGUGGUGAUUUUUUUCAUUACCAGGCCUUUUUUGACCAACGUGGUAUUUGUUAAUGAAUCAAUUUUCUUUCUUUUACUAAUUUGUGCCAAUCAUAUAGGCAAUAUUUUAGGAAUAUUAAAUGCUUUCUGCACAGCACCGGGCAACUUGAUGGUUUUAUUGUUGUUUUCUGUCUCCCUGUUGCAUCUUGCAAUGAAAAACUCAGAAUGUGGAUGUUUUUGUUUGUUUGGUUUUUUCCACAGUGUUUUUUUGCUUAUUGGUCAAACAGAAGGGUAUCGUUGACAGACUCUAAAAAUUGUUUUAUAAGAAGAAAGAAUGCUAGCUUGGAAUCCAAAUGUAUUUUGGUUGUAAUAUUUGGUGGCUUUUAUAUUGCCUUUGAAUAUAUUUGUGAUCUGCUCAUAUAAGCCAGUGUUCUGGUUUGGUGCUUUUAGAUAUCUUUUACUUAAUGUCACCAAUAGGGGAUUAGAUGUUGAAUUUCUCUUAUUAAUGACUUUGCGAAUGAGCCAUUAGGAGAUGGAAAAUUGUAUUUGAAAUUAGUUUGAAUAAAUGGAAAUCUGAGACUUUUUUUCCUUUCUUC